AGCGGGAAAAGCCAAAUUUUGGCGCAAAGUUCCCACCAAAAUUUCAUCUUUUCCCUCCACACGAAACCCUAGCCUUGGCAUAAACUGGUUGCUCCACACUCAAACCCUUAUUCCGCCGCUUACCGUCUAUUCUCCAUCUCCAACUCUCUGAAACUUAACCCAAAUGGCCAAAUUUCCUCCUCUCGGAUUUAUCUUGAAAUAUUAGGUCUUAUCUACUGACAUCAUCGGCAUAAGUUGAAAUUAAGAGUCUUGAAUUUUUUGUUUUUUUAUCUCUAAUAUCAACAAUAAUAAAUGUUAAUUCUUGAAUUGAAAUAUUAGAAGGUGUGAUUUUGAUUCUUUCUUUUUCUCAUUCUUUCACUAUUUUACCAGAUAUCAUGAAUAAAAGAAAUGUUUUAAGUUUUGAUGUUUCAAUAUUUCAACUUAAAGUUAGGUCUUUCACAAAUCUGUCAAAAUUAGAGAUUUUAGAGUGGGUUUCCACAUAUCUUCCUCCCAUGCUUUCGACAUAUCUUCGUGCGUUUGUAUACUUUGUUGUUGAUUCAUGUCUCUGUUUCUCUUGCAAAAGCAUCUGGAGUUUCAAGAUCAAUACUAUGAUUAAUUGAAAAGCUUCAAUUACUAACCAAUUUAUAAAGGUAAUAUUUUUCACUCGAUUUUGAUUCAAUAGUAAAGAUCCAGAAAAUAGAAAUUGGGGUUUCUUAGUCAUAGUAUUGAUCAGUGACUCAUUUUUUAAUCCAACCCCUUCGUUCAAUUUUAUGUUUUUCAUCCGCAGAUGCACAACCUUCAAGUAGUCUUGUUGAUUACAAUUUCUGUAAUUGCGGUGUGCUUAGCAAACUAUGGUCAUCUUAUUUACCGUGUUACAUAACAUUCUUAGAAUUCCAGGGGAAGGUGUCCAAACCAAAAGACGAGUCUUGGUCUAGCUGUGCCAAAAACUGAUUGUUGUAGUGGGGUUUUCAUGUAUCUUGGUUUUUUAGUGUGUAGAUUGUUUCUGCAGGGACCGUGGAGAUGGAACUGGAGGUGAAUUAAGAUGCUGGGAUAAAUUACUUACCAGAUGCACUUGGACUAAUCUUUUAGAAACAAUCUCUGCAAGAUAUACUGAUUGUGACUGUGAUUCUGAUUGAGGAUUGUAGUCGCUUGCAAUCACAGGACAAAAUCAAUCUAGUCAUUGAAAUGCUCAUUACAAGAAGCUGUGGUUCCAUCCGUAAGCUGGGCGUUACUAGACUUUCGGGCGAGUGCAUGUUUUGCUUCAUUGCUACUGUGGACACAAAGGACAAUAUUGCAAUCACACUGUGCAAGUUAGGAAGGAUAUUCCCCCAUCUUUUUUUUUUGCCGUGAUGACGCACUUGCGCAUUCUUAAAGCAGAACAAGCAAAGGUUGUUGGUCCAGUGCAGUAUGGUUGGAUGUAUUUUAUUGAGAGGGUAUCCUAAGUUAAUGCUAAAUGGAUCAAAUUGUACAACACUUUUGCAAAUUCUCUCUUGGGGUUCGCUUGCGUCCCAGUCAAAGGUGACGUACUUCCAAUAUUGAUGGUAUGUAUGCUGCUUGGUAACCUUGGAGCAUCCAUUACGGAAGUUAUAAUAGAUGCCUUUGUUGCGGAGUAUGGACAGAAAAAGAACAUUAGAGGCCUGCAGUCUUUGGAAACUUAUUUGGUGGCCACUUCUUAAGCAGAAUACAAUAACCCAAGUUAGAGGAACAAGAAAUUGAACAAACCAAUUACAUUCAUUUUUGCGCGCAUACAGAAUUUACUAGCACUGUUCACCAAAGAUUUGAGUUGUGGAUAGUUGUUUACACUGACGAAUGCUGAUUGAUCAACAAGACAAUGCAGUUGAUCUUCAAGACAAUUCAGUUGAUCUUCAGGCCAAUUCAACGAAACAAAGACAAUUCAGUUGCUCUUUGUUUACAACAAAGAUUUAGUUGUUUUAAUUGGGUAUUAUUCUUUCUUAUCUGUAAAACAAGACAAUUCAACAAAUGCAAACCAAUUGAAAAGCAAAAA